rnacentral:rRNA from 1 species
CAUAGGUUAAUGAGGCGAACCGGGGGAACUGAAACAUCUAAGUACCCCGAGGAAAAGAAAUCAACCGAGAUUCCCCCAGUAGCGGCGAGCGAACGGGGAGCAGCCCAGAGCCUGAAUCAGUGUGUGUGUUAGUGGAAGCGUCUGGAAAGGCGCGCGAUACAGGGUGACAGCCCCGUACACAAAAAUGCACAUGCUGUGAGCUCGAUGAGUAGGGCGGGACACGUGGUAUCCUGUCUGAAUAUGGGGGGACCAUCCUCCAAGGCUAAAUACUCCUGACUGACCGAUAGUGAACCAGUACCGUGAGGGAAAGGCGAAAAGAACCCCGGCGAGGGGAGUGAAAAAGAACCUGAAACCGUGUACGUACAAGCAGUGGGAGCACGCUUAGGCGUGUGACUGCGUACCUUUUGUAUAAUGGGUCAGCGACUUAUAUUCUGUAGCAAGGUUAACCGAAUAGGGGAGCCGAAGGGAAACCGAGUCUUAACUGGGCGUUAAGUUGCAGGGUAUAGACCCGAAACCCGGUGAUCUAGCCAUGGGCAGGUUGAAGGUUGGGUAACACUAACUGGAGGACCGAACCGACUAAUGUUGAAAAAUUAGCGGAUGACUUGUGGCUGGGGGUGAAAGGCCAAUCAAACCGGGAGAUAGCUGGUUCUCCCCGAAAGCUAUUUAGGUAGCGCCUCGUGAAUUCAUCUCCGGGGGUAGAGCACUGUUUCGGCAAGGGGGUCAUCCCGACUUACCAACCCGAUGCAAACUA